AAAAACCCCACAGCCCAGGGGAGGAGCAGCGGUUAAAGCCCAAAGUGGCCAAGCAGCAGCGCGCGCCCCAGGCUCCCCGGGCCCCGCCGCCCCGCCCAGGCCAGGCCCCCGCGGCCGCGCCUCCGGGCUCCAACGGCCUCAACGGAAGGCGGCGCGGGGGGCAGAGGCGCAUCAGUCUGGGGGGGACCCGGGCGGGGGGCGUUGGGGAAGCCGCGGCCUGGACCGGGACCCACAGCGGCGGCUCCACCUGGGGCAGGGCUCUGACCCGCACUCGGCCUGCGGUGUGCACGUCUAGUAGGAGACAAUCACUAAUUGCCUGCUGACUAGAUCGUCAAACAAAAUUCUGAUGACCAGCUGGCUCUAAUUAUUGUCAUUCCUUUGCAGGCCAAGUAUCCCAAAUAGAGUCUGGCAUAGAGAAGUCAAUAGAUGCUUGUGGAAUUGAAUCAGCAUGGACAUGAAGGUACAAUUCCCGCAUGUCCAACACUUAUGAAAAUUAAACAUUCCAUUACAUGUGAACAUCUACAGCUCAACAUGUAAUGCACAUGGGAAUAGAAUUUGAAAUUGUUUCAUGAACUACUGUCCCAAACUUGAAAAAUGAAAUCUGCAUGAAGUAGAUAAUUUGCAGGUAGGAAAAAAGGCUACAAAGGGCCUUGGUGAUAAGUCAAAGGCAUCUGAUAGGACUAAAAGAAGAUGGCAAUAAUUUACAUUAGCUGAGGGAAAAAAUGGGAGGAAAUGGAAAAACUCUAAGGAAACAAGUUUUUGUUGAUCAGGGAAUUCCUUACUUCUUCUCUAUGAGGAACGUAUCACACUGAACCUUGCACAGUUAAACUUGACAAAAUUUGGUUUCAUCUUCCUCCCUUCCUUUUUGCUAGUCUAUAUGGUUAAGAGAUGACCAAUAUGAAUGGAAGUUCACAAAAUGAUUAUCAUGAAAACUAAACUUUUAAUUCUGCCUUGGACGUCCAUAUACAGCUUGCUUUAAAGUCUUAGGAACACCUUUUUACAUGAGCAGAAUGGCUUUACAUAAUGGCCCCAGAUGCUUCAUUACAAAAGAGAUAAUGUACCUUCUUCAACACCUCAAGCUGAGCAUCCCUGACUGCUCUUCAGUGAGUGAGCCAAUUAUGUCAGUUAGUUGGCAAGGGACUAGAGCAAGUUGCUACUAUCAUGUGAUUCUGUUUACUUUCCUGUGAUACUUCCUAUGAAAAGGAACUUUACAGCAUUGUUCUAUCUUUUCUAUUCUCCCAUUAGUCUGUUUUUCCUGAGACACAUAUUCUUACGCUUUAGGUUAUCAUGAACUAUUGGUGAGACCAUGGCUGAUUUGCAAGAUUGACUUGCACACUGAACUCAACUUGAUUUUGUAAACAGCUAAUGCAAAGAGAGAUACUCUGGGUCUAAGCAAUUCUCUAUUCAAAGUCUUGUGCAUUCAGGCAAAACUGAAUUCCCAAUCUUGAUAUGUUGUGAGUCUAUAAUUUUAGAAGAGAUGC
rnacentral:lncRNA from 1 species